rnacentral:rRNA from 1 species
UCGGGAAUUUUGGGCAAUGGGCGAAAGCCUGACCCAGCAACGCCGCGUGAAGGAUGAAGUAUUUCGGUAUGUAAACUUCGAAAGAAUAGGAAGAAUAAAUGACGGUACUAUUUAUAAGGUCCGGCUAACUACGUGCCAGCAGCCGCGGUAAUACGUAGGGACCAAGCGUUGUUCGGAUUUACUGGGCGUAAAGGGCGCGUAGGCGGCAAUUCAAGUCAUCUGUGAAAUCUCCGGGCUUAACUCGGAACGGUCAGAUGAUACUGCUUUGCUAGAGUGCAGAAGGGGCAAUCGGAAUUCUUGGUGUAGCGGUGAAAUGCGUAGAUAUCAAGAGGAACACCUGAGGUGAAGACGGGUUGCUGGGCUGACACUGACGCUGAGGCGCGAAAGCGUGGGGAGCAAACAGGAUUAGAUACCCGUGUAGUCCCUGAGCGGGCUGGCAAGGCGCAU